UACGUAGGGAGCAAGCGUUGUCCGGAAUCAUUGGGCGUAAAGAGCUCGUAGGCGGUUUGUCGCGUCUGCUGUGAAAACCGGAGGCUCAACCUCCGGCCUGCAGUGGGUACGGGCGAACUUGAGGCCAGUAGGGGGACGCGGAAUUCCGGGUGUAGUGGUGGAAUGCGUAGAUAUUGGGAGGAACAUCGGUGGCGAAGGCGGCUACCUGGACGGGUACUGACGCUGAUGCGCGAAAGCGUAGGGGGA
rnacentral:rRNA from 1 species